UUAUUUUUUAAGUGAAAUGCAACUGUUUACCUGUACUCCUUUCCAGUCUUCACUCUCAAAAGGCAAAGCAAGAGCAAAGAUUGAUAGAUAGAUUGUGAAAUGAAGCUGUAGAGACUGGAAAAAAGGAAAGCAAGUGAGCGAAAGAAUUCUUAAACUAAAAUGCUAAGAUUUACUCUCGUAUGGCUUCUUGUUUUCUGUUCGGUGUUGGAUACUUGUUCAGCUCGACGUGCACCUUUUGCAAUGCGAAUAAGCUGUGGAGCUCGUCAAAAUGUCCAUUCUAAGCCUACAAAUACACUGUGGUAUAAGGAUUUUGCAUAUUCAGGAGGCAUACCAACUAAUGCAACACGUCCUAGUUCAAUCACUCCUCCUCUUGAAACACUUCGCUAUUUUCCUCUAUCUGAAGGUCCUGAAAAUUGCUACAUAAUUAACAGAGUGCCAAAGGGACAUUACAAUGUGAGAACCUUCUUUGGAUUGGUUAAACUGCCUAAUUUUGACACUGAACCUCUGUUUGACAUAUCAGUUGAAGGCACCCAAAUUUAUUCCUUGAAAUCAGGUUGGCAUGGCCACGAUGACCAAGCAUUUGCUGAAGCCCUUGUGUUUCUUACAGAUGGCACUGUCUCUAUAUGCUUCCAUAGCACUGGUCAUGGAGAUCCAGCGAUCCUUGCACUUGAAAUUCUUCAAGUUGACAGUAAAUCAUAUUACUUUGGUCCAGAGUGGGGUGAGGGUGUUAUCCUCAGAACAGUCACAAGACUGAGUUGUGGUAAUGGGAAACCAAAGUUUGAUGUAGAUUAUAAAGGGGAUCAUUGGGGUGGGGAUAGAUUUUGGAGUCCCCUUCAAACUUUUGGUCAGAGUUCUGAUCAAAUCAGGUCUACUGAAACUACCAUUAAACAGAAUGCAAAAGCCCCGAACUAUUAUCCGGACGCUCUUUAUCAAACUGCUCUUGUUAGCACUGAUAGUCAGCCAAAAUUGGCUUAUAUGAUGGAUGUGGAUCCCAACAAAAACUAUUCAGUUUGGUUACACUUUGCAGAGAUUGAUGAUAAAGUCAGAACCACAGGGGAAAGGGUAUUUGAUAUCCUGAUAAAUGGUGAUAUUGCAUUUGAAGAUGUAGAUGUUGUAAAAAUGAGUGGGGGUCGGUAUACAGCACUUGUGCUUAACACAACUGUUGCUAUUAAUGGGAGAACUUUAACCAUCAGUCUGCAGCCUAAGGGGGGAAGUCAUGCCAUAAUCAAUGCCAUUGAGGUCUUUGAGGUUCUAGUUGCUGAGUCGAAAACUUUGCCAGAUGAAGUGAGAGCUUUACAGACAUUGAAGAAUUCAUUGGGGCUUCCGCAUAGGCUGGGUUGGAAUGGUGAUCCUUGUGUUCCCAAACAACAUCCAUGGAGUGGAGCAGAUUGUCAAUUGGACAAAACUAGCAACAAAUGGGUCAUUGAUGGACUUGGUCUUGACAACCAAGGUCUGAGGGGUUUCUUGCCAAAUGAUGUAUCCAGAUUGCGUCAUCUACAAAGCAUAAAUUUGAGUGGAAACAGCAUUCAUGGAGCUAUUCCAUCCUCACUUGGAACAAUAGCUAGCUUAGAAGUGCUGGACCUCUCAUACAAUUUCUUAAAUGGAUCGAUUCCUGAAAGCUUAGGAAAGCUGACAUCAUUACGUAGAUUGAACCUCAAUGGCAACUCUCUGUCUGGAAGAGUUCCAGCUGCAUUAGGAGGAAGCCUUUUGCAUCAUAGAGCAAGCUUCAACUUUACUGAUAAUUCAGGUCUAUGUGGUAUACCUGGCUUGCCUACAUGUGAGUUUCGCCUUUCGACUGGGGCAAAGAUUGGCAUCGGAUUUGGUGUUCUCAUCAUUGUCUUUCUCCUCGUUUUAUGUUCAGUAAUUUGGUGGAAAAGGCGGCAAAAUAUUCAACGAGCACAGCAGAUUGCUGCAAGAGGUGCUCCUUAUGCAAAAGCAAGGACCCAAUCGUCACAUGAUAUUCAGUUGGCAAAGCAUCAGUAUCAUCACGGUGCUCGACAUGCAUCAGAGACUGGACCUAGUUUGCUAUCAUGAAUAUAGAUUGACAAUUAUUGACCUGUAGUUCUCUUUAUGUAAAGUCUGCUCCUGUUUCUGAUUCCUGGAUUCUGAUCUGCUUCCCAACAACCAUAUAUAAACCAACUCUAGAUUCGGCUUUGCUUGCCCUCAAACUUGCGGAAUUGCUUAAUGUUCCAGUAAAUAUCUGUUUAGUAUAGUGAAACCAGACAUGCACCUUUAAGAGGUCAGGCACCCCCCCUUGUGGCAGCAAUUCUGAAAAGUCAGCUCCAUAAUGUCAGAACUCAGAAGAAAGGUCUCUUUAAGAUGAUAGAAGGUUGGUGCUUGUGUCUUCGGUUAGGCUCUAACUCUAAACUCUUUAAAUUAUAGAAAAGAUGUAAUCGUACAUCAUGGAUAAACCUUAAUAUUCUGUUCUAUAAAUAUGUUCCUUCUCUA